UACAGAGGUGGCAAGCGUUGUUCGGAAUUACUGGGCGUAAAGGGCGCGUAGGCGGCUUGGUCAGUCCCGUGUGAAAUCCCUCGGCUCAACUGAGGAACUGCACGGGAAACUGCCUGGCUUGAGUUCGGGAGAGGGAAGCGGGAAUUCCGGGUGUAGCGGUGGAAAUGCGUAGAGUAUCCGGAGGAACACCGGUGGCGAAGGCGGCUUCCUGGACCGACACUGGACGCUGAGGCGCGAAAGCUAGGGGAGCAAACGGG
rnacentral:rRNA from 1 species